rnacentral:misc_RNA from 1 species
AAAGACUCGCCUCUACAUCGCCGUCAUGAUGGCCGCCACCGACGUCUGCCGCCGCUCCGACGGCUCCAUCAACCGCCGCCUCUUCAACUUCCUUGACACCAAAGCCUCAGCUAAUCCCAAGCCUGUCGCCGGCGUCCGUACUGUCGACGUUACCGUCGACCCCUCCCGUCCCCUCCGCCUUCGCCUCUUCGUCCCCACUACCGCCGAAGGCAGCAGCACCAAGCUCCCCCUCAUUGUCUUCUCCCACGGCGGUGGCUUCGCCUACCUCUCCGCCUUCUCCUCCCCCUUCGACGCCGUAUGUCGCCGCAUCGCAGCCUCCAUCCCCGCUGUCGUCGCGUCCGUCGACUACCGCCUCACCCCGGAGCAUCGCUACCCCGCACAGUACGAAGACGUCAUCGACACCCUCCGGUUCAUCGCUGUUGGCGGCCUCACAGAGUACACCCACAUAAUAGAUAUCAGCAGCUGCUUCUUGGUUGGCGACAGUGCCGGAGGCAACAUCUCGCACAACGUGGCCGCUCGAUGGGCGGCUG